rnacentral:rRNA from 1 species
GACGGAAGGUGCAAGCGUUGCUCGGAAUCACUGGGCGUAAAGGGUGCGUAGGCGGCCGUGCAAGUCUGGCGUGAAAGCCCCGGGCUCAGCCCGGGAAGUGCGCUCGAAACUGCGCGGCUCGAGUGCCGGAGGGGAGAGUGGAAUUCCUGGUGUAGCGGUGAAAUGCGUAGAGAUGUGGAGGAACACCAAUGGCGAAGGCAGCCUUCUGGGCCAACACUGACGCUCAUGCACGAAAGCGUGGGGAGCAAACAGG